rnacentral:rRNA from 1 species
CUACGGGAGGCUGCAGUUGGGAAUUUUGCACAAUGGAGGAAACUCUGAUGCAGCAACACUGCGUGAAGGAUGAAGGUCUUCGGAUUGUAAACUUCUUUUAUAUGGGAAUAAUCUUGAAGGUACCAUAUGAAUAAGCACCGGCUAACUACGUGCCAGCAGCCGCGGUAAUACGUAGGGUGCAAACGUUAUCCGGAUUUACUGGGCGUAAAGAGCUCGUAGGUGGAUUGAAAAGUCUGAUAUUAAAUCUCCAGGCUCAACUUGGAAGCAGUAUCGGAAACUUUUUUUCUUGAGGUAUGCAGGGGAGAACGGAACGUACGGUGUAGCGGUGGAAUGCGUAGAUAUCGUACGGAACGCCAAUGGUGAAGACAGUUCUCUGGGCAUUACCUGACACUGAGGAGCGAAAGCGUGGGUAGCGAUCGGGAUUAGAUACCCCCGUAGUC